GAUAGAAGCCCAUCUACUGUAAAUAACCUACACACUGUGUGUGUGUUUGUGCAGCUAGCCAGCCUGCCAGGUAGAACAAUUUCAGAAAAAGGCAGAUCAGGCAACAGAGGGCACACAGACAGCAGAGCUGGUGACAGGUGGGCAGGGACAGACUGGCAGAGACAGGGAGUCUCAGGGUUCAUGCCAGGAUUUUUUUCGAGACCUGAUAUUGAAGAACAUUCAACAUGAGGCCUAUGUUUUUCAUCUGCACUGGCUUGGGAGAAAAAAACAGACAUUUCAGUGUGAGUCCUAUUUGAUUGAUUUUCUCUCUACUAAAUGCAAAGGAAUUACAUGUAUUUCAAAUAUGUAUUUUGUAUGUUUUAUUACACUGGGCUGAACUACACUGUAAUCUAUUUUUUAACCAGAUACUUUCUAAAGCUGUAAUAUGUAUUUUCAAAAUACAAUUUGUUUUUGGUACAUAUUUGUAUCUUUAUUUUUUUUAAUUAUAACUGGUUUGGCAUGUAUUUGUUUUGUGAGGGCUGUUUACCAGGUUUAUUUGCCAUUAAGUAGUAUGCUUUCUUUUGAGUUUAACCUAUAGUUGUUGGCGCUCUUCAAAAGGUUAAGAUCACAUUCCUGCUUAAAUUCAGACAUUUUAUUUUUUGAUGGGCUUUUUCUAAAAUAGUGAUUUAUUUUUCUUUCAUUUUUAACUCAGAUGUACAGUAACUUUUGACGAGUAUGAGAUUAUCAUUCCCCUAAUGUACACCUUAAAUGCAUCUGAAAUUAUAUUAGGGUUAGGCUUUUCCCAUCCUCUAUGUCUACAUUUGUAAUGGCAAUUUUAUUUUUAUUUUUUUCAUAUACUUAUUUAAUACAUUUCGGGUUUUGAACAUGUGCUCUGUUCAUUCUCCAUAUUCUGUCGCUAAGUGUAUUUUCUGUUGGUGUAAUUAAACAUGAUAGAAGAUCAGAGAAUGAUCAAUAUUAUUGUCAUGUUUAACCCAGUAAAUUGUUUAGGGUAUUUUUUAAAAUAAAAUAAAUGUAAUCAAUU